rnacentral:lncRNA from 1 species
CUCGAUGUCACAGUCCACUUUCUGUUGCCUUCUGAUGAAGAUGUAGCAGCACCAUGUCUGCCUGCACACUGCCAUGCACCCUGCCAUGGUGAUAAUGGACUGGACCUCUGAACUAAAACAAGACUUCCUAUGCUUUCCUUCCAUCAUUCCUCACCAUGCAAGCAUUAAUGCUAAUGGAGGGAAGCACAAAAGUAAGAACUGGGGCUGGAGAGAUGGCUCAGAGGUUAAAAGCACUGACUGCUCUUCCAGAGGUCCUGAGUUCAAUUCCCAGCAACCACAUGAUGGCUCACAACCGUCUGCAAUGAGAUCCGAUGCCCUCUUCUGACAUGCAGACAAACAUGCAGACAGAACACUGUAUACAUGAUAAAUAAAUAAAUAAAUCUUAAAAAAAGGAAAAAAGGUAAGAACUGAAUCAAGCUAUUGGCUCCCAGGGUCCCAGC